AGCUAAGAUAGAAAAUGAGACCCGAUACUUCACUAUGCUUAGCCUUAAACUUAGAUGUACUUUUAGACCCGCAUCGGUUCGCGCACUACGAGCACUUCACAGAGUGCACAGGAGUUGGCGGUGUAUCAGACCCACAUAGCGGAGCCUGUUGUAGUACCGAUGAUCCCUGUUAAACCUCACCAGUUAUUGCUUUUUCCUGCGUAAAUACGGCCGUUGUCAGCUUUCCCUGGGAAGGCUUAGUAGUAAGCAAAAUAGGCCCGCCCAAAAACGUCAGGUCAAGGUGUAGCGUAUGAAGUGGAAAGAAAUGGGCUACAUUUUUUACAAAGCAGAAUACUACGAAAGACGCCCUGAAACAAGCGUCCAAAGGUGGAUUUUGUAGUAAAAAGAAAACAGAGUGUCCUUUUGAAUUAGGCUCUGAGACGCGCACACACCGCCCGUCACUCUCCCCCCACCCCACCCCCAACUUCAUACCUAAUUACACAAUUACUAUACACGGGGAGGCAAGUCGUAACAUGGUAAGUGUACCGGAAGGUGCACUUGGAAUAAUCAGGACGUGGCUGAGACAGACAAGCAUCUCCCUUACACCGAGAAAACAUCCAUGCAAGUUGGAUCGCCCUGAGCCAAACAGCUAGCUUAACCCCCAAAUAACCCAAACAACAUUAGUAUACCCAAAAUUACUUCAACAAAACAAAUUAAAACAUUCUACCGCCCGAGUAUGUGCGACAGAAAGGGCCCACAACUCUAAAGCCA
rnacentral:rRNA from 1 species